GAAAUGCGAUAAGUAAUGUGAAUUGCAGAAUUCAGUGAAUCAUCGAAUCUUUGAACGCACAUUGCACCUGGUAGUAUUCUGCCAGGUAUGCCUGUUCGAGCGUCAUUUCAACCCUCGGUGGCCCGUUUUCUGGCGACCGGUGUUGGGCGGACCGCGGCGGCCACAGCGCCGGCCCGCGACCCCCCUAAAUUCAGUGGCAGCCCCGCGCUGAGCCCCCUGCGUAGUAGUUCUAAAAACUCGCAUCGGGCCCGGGCGUCGGCCCGCCGUAAAAUCGCUUCGGCAAACAGUUACAAGGUUGACCUCGAAUCAGGUAGGGAUACCCGCUGAACUUAA
rnacentral:misc_RNA from 1 species